CACGUAGGGGGCAAGCGUUGUCCGGAUUUAUUGGGCGUAAAGAGCUCGUAGGCGGUUCGGUAAGUCGGGUGUGAAACCUCCAGGCUCAACCUGGAGAUGCCACCUGAUACUGCUGUGACUCGAGUCCGGUAGGGGAGCGUGGAAUUCCUGGUGUAGCGGUGAAAUGCGCAGAUAUCAGGAGGAACGCCAGCGGCGAAGGCGGCGCUCUGGGCCGGAACUGACGCUGAGGAGCGAAAGCGUGGGUAGCAAACAGG
rnacentral:rRNA from 1 species